GGGGAAUAUUGGACAAUGGACGAAAGUCUGAUCCAGCGACGCCGCGUGGAGGAAGAAGUCCUUCGGGAUGUAAACUCAUGAAGCUAACGAAUAAGACGGAAGGGGAACCUUCCGGGAGAAGGUAAUUAGUGAAAAGCCCCGGCUAACUACGUGCCAGCAGCCGCGGUAAUACGUAGGGGGCGAGCGUUGCCCGGAAUUACUGGGCGUAAAGGGCGUGUAGCCGGGAAGGUAAGUCAGAUGUGAAAUCUGGGGGCUCAACCUCCAAACUGCAUUUGAAACUACUUUUCUUGAGUAUCGGAGAGGUAAUCGGAAUUCCUUGUGUAGCGGUGAAAUGCGUAGAUAUAAGGAAGAACACAGUGGCGAAGGCGGAUUACUGGACUUAAACUGACGCUGAGGCACGAAAGCGUGGGGAGCAAACA
rnacentral:rRNA from 1 species